GUUGGAAGAAACAUAGGGGGGCAAGCCCUGCUACAUAAAUGGUCAGCAAGGGCCUAGGGUAGACACCUUGGGUAAACUAACCCUUGGUGAGGCGUUAGACGAAAACCACCCGUUGGAGGACCAGACAAUCUUCGGGCGAGCUGAGGUGGCCCGCCAAAGGGACCACAACUAUAGGUGAUAAAGAGGUAGGGAGUACAAUAUAAUAGAUAAAACUUUCAACAACGGAUCUGAGGGUUAUAGCAUCGAGGAAAAACGCAGCGAAAUAGGGAUAAGGUAUGGGAAAGGCAGAAUUCAGGUAAUCAUGGGAAUCAUGGAACGCACAUUGCGCCCUUGGGUAUUCCGAAGGGACAGGCCUGUUCGAGGGUCAAUAUAACCACACAAGGCCUUCCCUGGAGUAUUGGGGUCGGCGGCAUCCACGGCCCAAAAAAUCCAUGUCCCCCUGCCCUUUUGGAGGAAGGGAGCAAAUCAACAAACCAAUAAGCCUCUUGGUCUCUUGGUCAUAGAGAGCAAAUCAACCAUAUC
rnacentral:rRNA from 1 species